rnacentral:rRNA from 1 species
CCUACGGGGGGCAGCAGCAAGGAAUUUUUCCCAAUGGGCGCAAGCCUGAGGAAGCAACGUCGCGUGGUGGAUGACGGCCUUCGGGUUGUAAACACCUUUUCGGGGGGAAGACAACGACGGUACCCCCGGAAUAAGCCCCGGCUAACUCCGUGCCAGCAGCCGCGGUAAUACGGAGGGGGCAAGCGUUGUCCGGACUUACUGGGCGUAAAGGGUGCGUAGGUGGCCUGCCACGUCGGUGCUGAAAGCGCCCGGCUCAACCGGGCGAGGCGUGCCGA